GACGGAGGAUGCAAGUGUUAUCCGGAAUCACUGGGCGUAAAGCGUCUGUAGGUGGUUCGAAAAGUCCACUGUUAAAAAUUGAGGCUUAACUUCAAAGAUGCCGUGGAAACUUUCAAACUAGAGUAUGGUAGGGGUAGAGGGAAUUUCCAGUGGAGCGGUGAAAUGCGUAGAUAUCUACAGGAACUCCGGUGGCGAAAGCGGCGUGCUGGACCUUUUCUGACGCUGAGGCGCGAAAGCUAGGGGAGCAAACGGGG
rnacentral:rRNA from 1 species